GAUGAAGAACGCAGCGAAAUGCGAUAAGUAAUGUGAAUUGCAGAAUUCAGUGAAUCAUCGAAUCUUUGAACGCACAUUGUGCCCUCUGGUAUUCCGGGGGGCAUGCCUGUUCGAGCGUCAUUAUAACCACUCAAGCUCUCGCUUGGUAUUGGAGUUCGCGAUCUCGCGGCUCCUAAAAUCAGUGGCGGUGCCUGUCGGCUCUACGCGUAGUAAUACUCCUCGCGAUUGAGUCCGGUAGGUUUACUUGCCAGCAACCCCCAAUUUUUACAGGUUGACCUCGGAUCAGGUAGGGAUACCCGCUGAACUUAAGCAUAUCAAUAAGCGGAGGA
rnacentral:misc_RNA from 1 species